rnacentral:lncRNA from 8 species
UGAAACUGCCUGUUGUGUAAAUCUCCCAUUAUUUCUACACAGUCACAGUAACAGCAGGUGUACUGGCCAUCUCAGAGGAAAUAGGUAAGAGGAAAAAAUUUUCAUCCUAAAAUGCAGAGUUCAAAUCAUUUGCGUUCAUCUACAGUUUAAGCCGUUUUAUUCCAAACAUGUUUAUUACAAAGACGUUUAAUUGUCCUUAAUGCUCUCUUUCACUCUCAAAUGAUGUAGCUGUCUACCCCGCCAUGCUUUUUGGAUCAAAGGCUCAAGUUAGAAAGGGAGACACUAUAGAUUUGAAGUGUAAUAUCUCUGGCAUCAUAAGAUUCUGGGACAAGGUUCAUGUGUACAUUUACAAGAAUGGAGUUGAGAUGGCAAUGAAGGUUUUGGAGAAAGGUGAAGAUGACGCUAUUUUCACCAUGAAGGAUGUUACAAGAGAAGACUCAGGCAACUACAGCUGUGUGUACACCAGAGAUAAACUUCUACUGGAUCAAGUGAAAUCAGCAGGCAAGAAUUUAGUAGCCAUCUGUGUCUAUGAAGAGGCUGCACAUGAUGUGAUACUGGUCAAUGUAAUCCGACUGAUAAGUUCAGCUGUUGUGGUCAUACUUCUGCUGACUGUAGUGGCUGUUAGUUCAUGCUGUUCAAAAAGAGGAGCUUUACAAUGUUAUUGUGGAAGGUAA